ACAUGAUAUCCCAAAACCUAGCGAUGUUCUUCUCUCUGAUCCCUCUCAUCUCUAUUUCUCUCUCCCUCUCAUCAAAACCCAGUGAUGAUCUUCUCCCUACACCCACACCACCGCCGAUCUGCCAUCACCCAACGAUGAUGCUCCAACAACCGGCCGUGCAUUUCAAGCACCCACUUCUGUUUAUUAGAUCAGACCUUGGGUUUUGUGGUGAGUGAAGCGAAAAAAACAAGAUCAUACUUAUAUUAAACUAACAACUAGGGUGCAUAUGGUGGCAAAACCUAAGUGUUAAGUAUAAAAGAGAUCUUGCAGGAGAAGAUGGAUAAACUUCCCAAAAGUUGAGCAAGCAUUUGUAACCCUUAGUAGGAAGUAUUACAUGUAUUUGAUUUGUAGAUUGCUUUCUUUGUUGAAAAUGUGAAUCUUGAAUUGUCUCAUGUUGAAUUUCUUUUGCAACUUUUGUGUAAGUGAUAAGAGGUUCUUAUGAAUUUAACAAGCGAGAUUUUUGGUAGUAA